rnacentral:rRNA from 1 species
GCACUCCCGGGGCGUCUCUAUCUCAUUGCGAGAGGAGGCGCACCUAUAGCGUACACGCUGAUACCCGAAAGAUGGUGAACUAUGCCUGGCCAGGACGAAGCCAGGGGAAACCCUGGUGGAGGUCCGCAGCGAUUCUGACGUGCAAAUCGAUCGUCGGAGCUGGGUUUAGGGGCGAAAGACCAAUCGAACCAUCUAGUAGCUGGUUCCCUCUGAAGUUUCCCUCAGGAUAGCUUGCGCUCGGGCUGAACGAGUCUCAUCCGGUAGAGCGAAUGAUUAGAGGCCUUGGGGUCGAAACGACCUCAACCUAUUCUCAAACUCCAAAUAGAUGAGAACCCUGGCUUUCUUGAACUAUGAAGCCAAGGGGUUUCGGAUCAGAGUGCCAAGUGGGCCAAUUUUGGUAAGCAGAACUGGCGCUGUGGGAUGAACCAAACGCGGAGUUAAGGCGCCUCAAUCGACGCUCAUGUGAUACCAUGAAAGGCGUUGGUUGCUUAAGACAGCAG